rnacentral:rRNA from 1 species
CAACACGGGGAAACUUACCAGGUCCAGACAUGGGAAGGAUUGACAGUUUGAUAGUGCUUUCUUGAUUCUAUGGGUGGUGGUGCAUGGCCGUUCUUAGUUGGUGGAGUGAUUUGUCUGGUUAAUUCCGAUAACGAACGAGACCUCAGCCUGCUAACUAGUUGCUGCUUCUCCAAGCAGUGGACUUCUUAGAGGGACUUCGGGGGCUACUCCGAGGAAGUUUGAGGCAAUAACAGGUCCGUGAUGCCCUUAGAUGUCCUGGGCCGCACGCGCGCUACACUGAUGCAGGCAGUAAGCUCCGCAGCAGACAUGCUCCGGAAACCUCCAAACUGCAUCGUGAUGGGGAUUGACCCUUGGAAUUAUUGGUCAUCAACGAGGAAUUCCUAGUAAACGCAAGUCAUCAGCUUGCAUUGAUUACGUCCCUGCCCCUUUGUACACACCGCCCGUCGCUCCUACCGAUUCCGAGUGAUGAGGUGAACCCUCCGGACUGGCUCGCGCUGGGAAGUUGAGUAAACCUUAUCACUUAGAGGAAGGAGAAGUCGUAACAAGGUAUCUGUAGGUGAACCUGCAGAUGGAUCAUUAACGCUCUUCCAUAAACGUGAGACAUCAUAUCAUACUGAAAACCUCAGCGAUGGAUAUCUCGGCUCCUGCCUCGAGGAAGAACGCAGCGAACUGCGAAAAGCACUGCGAAUUGCAGAACUCAGUGAGUCAGCAGCUCUUUGAACGCACUCGGCGCUUUGCGUGCUU